GACCAAAGGCAUCGUCCCGGGGGCGGCAGAAGACGGAACAGCCCUCUCCGUAGUAGUGCUCGUCGCACACAAAGCGAUAGGAAUACUUGAGGUGUAGCCUGUCGGAGACUGACAGCUCGUUCGGAUGGCAAAAGAAAAAGAAAGGAAAAAAAAAAAAAAAAAAAGAAAAGAAAAGGAAAAAAAAAGGCUAAAAUUAAUCUGCUAAACUCUUUCUUUCCCAAUCCACGGUGCUCCUCCUUUUCUCCAGGAAGAAAAAAUAAAAAUUAAAAAAAAAAAAAAAAAA